rnacentral:rRNA from 1 species
GGAAUAUUGCGCAAUGGGCGAAAGCCUGACGCAGCCACGCCGCGUGCAGGAUGACACCCCUACGGGGCGUAAACUGCUUUUGUGUGAGAAGAACACCCCGGAUUCCCGGGCUUGACGGUAUCACACGAAUAAGGACCGGCUAACUCCGUGCCAGCAGCCGCGGUAAUACGGAGGGUCCAAGCGUUGUCCGGAUUCAUUGGGUGUAAAGGGUGCGCAGGUGGGCCUGUAAGUCAGAGGUGAAAUCUCGCAGCUUAACUGUGGAACUGCCUUUGAUACUGCAGGUCUUGAGUCCUGGAGGGGUUGUCGGAAUUCGUGGUGUAGCGGUGAAAUGCGUAGAUAUCACGAGGAACGCCGGAGGUGUAGACGGACAACUGGACAGGUACUGACACUGAGGCACGAAAGCGUGGGGAGCGAAC